GGUUAAGCGACUAAGCGUACACGGUGGAUGCCCUGGCAGUCAGAGGCGAUGAAGGACGUGCUAAUCUGCGAUAAGCGUCGGUAAGGUGAUAUGAACCGUUAUAACCGGCGAUUUCCGAAUGGGGAAACCCAGUGUGAUUCGUCACACUAUCAUUAACUGAAUCCAUAGGUUAAUGAGGCGAACCGGGGGAACUGAAACAUCUAAGUACCCCGAGGAAAAGAAAUCAACCGAGAUUCCCCCAGUAGCGGCGAGCGAACGGGGAGCAGCCCAGAGCCUGAAUCAGUGUGUGUGUUAGUGGAAGCGUCUGGAAAGGCGCGCGAUACAGGGUGACAGCCCCGUACACAAAAAUGCACAUGCUGUGAGCUCGAUGAGUAGGGCGGGACACGUGGUAUCCUGUCUGAAUAUGGGGGGACCAUCCUCCAAGGCUAAAUACUCCUGACUGACCGAUAGUGAACCAGUACCGUGAGGGAAAGGCGAAAAGAACCCCGGCGAGGGGAGUGAAAAAGAACCUGAAACCGUGUACGUACAAGCAGUGGGAGCCUCUUUAUGGGGUGACUGCGUACCUUUUGUAUAAUGGGUCAGCGACUUAUAUUCUGUAGCAAGGUUAACCGAAUAGGGGAGCCGAAGGGAAACCGAGUCUUAACUGGGCGUUAAGUUGCAGGGUAUAGACCCGAAACCCGGUGAUCUAGCCAUGGGCAGGUUGAAGGUUGGGUAACACUAACUGGAGGACCGAACCGACUAAUGUUGAAAAAUUAGCGGAUGACUUGUGGCUGGGGGUGAAAGGCCAAUCAAACCGGGAGAUAGCUGGUUCUCCCCGAAAGCUAUUUAGGUAGCGCCUCGUGAAUUCAUCUCCGGGGGUAGAGCACUGUUUCGGCAAGGGGGUCAUCCCGACUUACCAACCCGAUGCAAACUGCGAAUACCGGAGAAUGUUAUCACGGGAGACACACGGCGGGUGCUAACGUCCGUCGUGAAGAGGGAAACAACCCAGACCGCCAGCUAAGGUCCCAAAGUCAUGGUUAAGUGGGAAACGAUGUGGGAAGGCCCAGACAGCCAGGAUGUUGGCUUAGAAGCAGCCAUCAUUUAAAGAAAGCGUAAUAGCUCACUGGUCGAGUCGGCCUGCGCGGAAGAUGUAACGGGGCUAAACCAUGCACCGAAGCUGCGGCAGCGACGCUUAUGCGUUGUUGGGUAGGGGAGCGUUCUGUAAGCCUGCGAAGGUGUACUGUGAGGUAUGCUGGAGGUAUCAGAAGUGCGAAUGCUGACAUAAGUAACGAUAAAGCGGGUGAAAAGCCCGCUCGCCGGAAGACCAAGGGUUCCUGUCCAACGUUAAUCGGGGCAGGGUGAGUCGACCCCUAAGGCGAGGCCGAAAGGCGUAGUCGAUGGGAAACAGGUUAAUAUUCCUGUACUUGGUGUUACUGCGAAGGGGGGACGGAGAAGGCUAUGUUGGCCGGGCGACGGUUGUCCCGGUUUAAGCGUGUAGGCUGGUUUUCCAGGCAAAUCCGGAAAAUCAAGGCUGAGGCGUGAUGACGAGGCACUACGGUGCUGAAGCAACAAAUGCCCUGCUUCCAGGAAAAGCCUCUAAGCAUCAGGUAACAUCAAAUCGUACCCCAAACCGACACAGGUGGUCAGGUAGAGAAUACCAAGGCGCUUGAGAGAACUCGGGUGAAGGAACUAGGCAAAAUGGUGCCGUAACUUCGGGAGAAGGCACGCUGAUACGUAGGUGAAGUCCCUUGCGGAUGGAGCUGAAAUCAGUCGAAGAUACCAGCUGGCUGCAACUGUUUAUUAAAAACACAGCACUGUGCAAACACGAAAGUGGACGUAUACGGUGUGACGCCUGCCCGGUGCCGGAAGGUUAAUUGAUGGGGUUAGCGGUAACGCGAAGCUCUUGAUCGAAGCCCCGGUAAACGGCGGCCGUAACUAUAACGGUCCUAAGGUAGCGAAAUUCCUUGUCGGGUAAGUUCCGACCUGCACGAAUGGCGUAAUGAUGGCCAGGCUGUCUCCACCCGAGACUCAGUGAAAUUGAACUCGCUGUGAAGAUGCAGUGUACCCGCGGCAAGACGGAAAGACCCCGUGAACCUUUACUAUAGCUUGACACUGAACAUUGAGCCUUGAUGUGUAGGAUAGGUGGGAGGCUUUGAAGUGUGGACGCCAGUCUGCAUGGAGCCGACCUUGAAAUACCACCCUUUAAUGUUUGAUGUUCUAACGUUGGCCCCUAAUCGGGGUUGCGGACAGUGUCUGGUGGGUAGUUUGACUGGGGCGGUCUCCUCCUAAAGAGUAACGGAGGAGCACGAAGGUUGGCUAAUCCUGGUCGGACAUCAGGAGGUUAGUGCAAUGGCAUAAGCCAGCUUGACUGCGAGCGUGACGGCGCGAGCAGGUGCGAAAGCAGGUCAUAGUGAUCCGGUGGUUCUGAAUGGAAGGGCCAUCGCUCAACGGAUAAAAGGUACUCCGGGGAUAACAGGCUGAUACCGCCCAAGAGUUCAUAUCGACGGCGGUGUUUGGCACCUCGAUGUCGGCUCAUCACAUCCUGGGGCUGAAGUAGGUCCCAAGGGUAUGGCUGUUCGCCAUUUAAAGUGGUACGCGAGCUGGGUUUAGAACGUCGUGAGACAGUUCGGUCCCUAUCUGCCGUGGGCGCUGGAGAACUGAGGGGGGCUGCUCCUAGUACGAGAGGACCGGAGUGGACGCAUCACUGGUGUUCGGGUUGUCAUGCCAAUGGCACUGCCCGGUAGCUAAAUGCGGAAGAGAUAAGUGCUGAAAGCAUCUAAGCACGAAACUUGCCCCGAGAUGAGUUCUCCCUGACUCCCUGAGAGUCCUGAAGGAACGUUGAAGACGACGACGUUGAUAGGCCGGGUGUGUAAGCGCAGCGAUGCGUUGAGCUAACCGGUACUAAUGAACCGUGAGGCUAAACCUU
rnacentral:rRNA from 1 species